AUUGAACGCUGGCGGAAUGCUUUACACAUGCAAGUCGAACGGCAGCACGGACUUCGGUCUGGUGGCGAGUGGCGAACGGGUGAGUAAUGUAUCGGAACGUGCCCAGUCGUGGGAUAACGUAGUGAAAAUUACGCUAAUACCGCAUACGAUCUAUGGAAGAAAGCGGGGGAUCGCAAGACCUCGCGCGAUUGGAGUGGCCCAUACCAGAUUAGGUAGUUGGUGGGGUAAAGGCCCACCAAGCCAACGAUCUGUAGCUGGUCUGAGAGUACGACCAGCCACACUGGAACUGAGACACGGUCCAGAAUCCUACGGGAGGCAGCAGUGGGGAAUUUUGGACAAUGGGCGAAAGCCUGAUCCAGCCAUUCCGCGUGCAGGAUGAAGGCCCUCGGGUUGUAAACUGCUUUUGUACAGAACGAAAAGGUUUCUACUAAUACUAGGAGCUCAUGACGGUACUGUAAGAAUAAGCACCGGCUAACUACGUGCCAGCCGCCGCGGUAA
rnacentral:rRNA from 1 species